GUAGGGAAUCUUCCGCAAUGGACGCAAGUCUGACGGAGCAACGCCGCGUGAGUGAAGAAGGAUUUCGGUUCGUAAAACUCUGUUGUUAGAGAAGAACAGCGCAUAGAGUAACUGUUAUGCGUGUGACGGUAUCUAACCAGAAAGCCACGGCUAACUACGUGCCAGCAGCCGCGGUAAUACGUAGGUGGCAAGCGUUGUCCGGAUUUAUUGGGCGUAAAGCGAGCGCAGGCGGUCAAUUAAGUCUGAUGUGAAAGCCCCCGGCUCAACCGGGGAGGGUCAUUGGAAACUGGUUGACUUGAGUGCAGAAGAGGAGAGUGGAAUUCCAUGUGUAGCGGUGAAAUGCGUAGAUAUAUGGAGGAACACCAGUGGCGAAGGCGACUCUCUGGUCUGUAACUGACGCUGAGGCUCGAAAGCGUGGGUAGCAAACAGGAUUAGAAACCCUAGUAGUCC
rnacentral:rRNA from 1 species